rnacentral:rRNA from 1 species
CAACUACUCUGUUACGGACUACCUAGGCGCAUGAUCGGUAGCUGGUCUUGAGAGGACGAUCAGCCACACUGGGACUGAGACACGGCCCAGACUCCUACGGGAGGCAGCAGUGGGGAAUUUUCCGCAAUGGGCGAAAGCCUGACGGAGCAAGACCGCGUGGGGGAAGAAGGCUCUUGGGUUGUAAACCCCUUUUCUCUGGGAAGAAAGUUGUGAAAGCAACCUGACGGUACCAGAGGAAUCAGCAUCGGCUAACUCCCUGCCAGCAGCGCCGGGUAAUACAGA